rnacentral:rRNA from 1 species
UACGGGAGUGGCAAGCGUUAUCCGGAAUUAUUGGGCGUAAAGCGUCCGCAGGCGGUCUUGUAAGUCUGUUGUUAAAGCGUGGAGCUUAACUCCAUUUCAGCAAUGGAAACUGUAAGACUAGAGUGUGGUAGGGGCAGAGGGAAUUCCCGGUGUAGCGGUGAAAUGCGUAGAUAUCGGGAAGAACACCAGUGGCGAAGGCGCUCUGCUGGGCCAUAACUGACGCUCAUGGACGAAAGCCAGGGGAGCGAAAGGGAUUAGAUACCCCUGUAGUCCUGGCCGUAAACGAUGAACACUAGGUGUCGGGGGAAUCGACCCCCUCGGUGUCGUAGCCAACGCGUUAAGUGUUCCGCCUGGGGAGUACGCGCGCAAGUGUGAAACUCAAAGGAAUUGACGGGGGCCCGCACAAGCGGUGGAGUAUGUGGUUUAAUUCGAUGCAACGCGAAGAACCUUACCAGGGUUUGACAUCCUGCGAAUCUUUUGGAAACGAGAGAGUGCCUUCGGGAACGCAGUGACAGGUGGUGCAUGGCUGUCGUCAGCUCGUGUCGUGAGAUGUUGGGUUAAGUCCCGCAACGAGCGCAACCCACGUCGUUAGUUGCCAGCAUUUAGUUGGGCACUCUAGCGAGACCGCCGGUGAUAAACCGGAGGAAGGUGUGGAUGACGUCAAGUCAUCAUGCCCCUUACAUCCUGGGCUACACACGUACUACAAUGCUACGGACAAAGGGCAGCAAACUCGCGAGAGCUAGCAAAUCCCAUAAACCGUGGCUCAGUUCAGAUCGUAGGCUGCAACUCGCCUACGUGAAGGAGGAAUCGCUAGUAAUCGCAGGUCAGCAUACUGCGGUGAAUACGUUCCCGGGCCU